rnacentral:misc_RNA from 1 species
ACAGUGCCAAGGAUCAGAAACUUGUAUAUUUUCCUUUGUUUCAUUGUUUUAGAGGUUUUAGUUCUUUACGUAUGGAGUAUGAAUGUGUGUGAGUGUACAUAAUGCCUCACACAGCCCUUCAGUGGCGGAUAGUAGAAAAGAAAUUAUCUGGCAUCUUUUUUCGCUGUGAUUGCUGUGUCAUUUGGUUCAGUUUAGUCUUUGAUUUUAAUUGAAAAAUGUGUAAUGGCUUGUCCUGCCUUCCAGCCUGCUGCUUGCCAUAGCGACUGUCAGAUGCAUUCUAGAUUGCAAACGUAAGAGUCCCACCUGUCUAGCCUGAUAGUUUAAAGCUAAGCUAUUACCAAGAUGGUCUGAUAUAUGCCAUUUCCAUUUCCGUGUGCACUUCUCCGCCACCAGCGCGGUGAUGAUUUCCACAUGUGAUACAAUCGGCUCAUGGUUCCCUGGGACGGUUUACCUCCUCAGAUACAUUAAUUUUGUGUGUGAUACUAUUAUUCUUACUUUUACCUCAGUAAAAACUUCUUUUGCUCUCUAAUGGACCUCAGUCAAGGGAUGAAUUCACCGGUAAAUAUCAUCAAUUUGACUGGUUGGUGCUGUAAAUACGUAUAUGGUAUGAUCGUAGCCCUUAAUAAAAAUAAGAAAAGAGAAGAAAAUGUUUUGUAGAAGUAUUUACACUGACGAGCAAGAUGGUCAACAGCAAAUGUUGUUUGUAUGGGAAAGAGAGGGAUGAGAGGAAGCAUGGGAUAAGGGAUUAGCGGUGAGGGGAUGAACACAGUUGUUUAUUAGGCUUCAUUUUGCCAAGGAAAGACUAUCUAUAAAGUUUGUAUGGUUAUAAAUACUUAACACAUUGCAAGGGUUAAUAAACUAACGAUAUUGGAAGAAUAAUAGUAUUGCACACGAACACCACAUAUCUACGAAAAUAGCCAAACUCUAACAAGAAUAUUCACUGUGACAGCAGAGCGUAAAUGGGGCACCAAAUUGUCUGGCACACUGUUCACGAAUGCGCGAAACCUCGAAUGAACCUUGGACAGGAGAGAGUAAGCGGGCGACGGCCGGCCUCACUCGAGCCACGGGAGUAGCGGGUGACGGAUUAAGGGUGGCGUUAUGCAAGGUGACUGUCUCCUGUUGUUUACAUGGUGUACCAUGAUUUUCCCUACCAGCCUACUGCAAUUGGCUUUGACCCCAUGCAGUGCAUCCUUGCAAUCCGAACCAGGGAGUCAUCGUAUGACGAGAGAAAUGAGGAAUGAGCUUCCAAACUGCAAGCAAUUUCCCAAGCUUCUCAGUCAUCUAUUGACACCCAGAGGGGGAGCAUGUACUAAGCACUCAUGGGUGCAACCACUGCCAACAUAGCUCAAGAAGCCCUCUUAUGGACCACUGAGGCAUCUAGUUCCACAAAAUUGAAGAAAAAAAAAGUAGAGGUCAUUGCUGCAAAGAAUGGCUUAUUGGUGGAGUGAAAGGGAAGUAACGUAGGUGAUGUAUAAUCCCCUCUGCUGUGGAUAUAAGAAUGGGUGAGCAGCCUGGUGGUCACCACCAAAAUGCCUCCAGUCCAAAGUGUACUGCCCAUCCUGAAGCUCUGCCCACUUUAACCAUAUAUGGAAGUUCUGGGGAACUAGUCAAGUUCUUCCCAGGCUAAAAAAGAAUUUUUACCCCAUUCUGGUCAUUUCCUUCCAACAUAUAUGUCUUUGCAGUUCAAAAAUUCCCCAUAAUUAUUAUUAUAUUAUCCUUCUUUAAAUGCAUUGCUUAUUGAGAGUUUUGUUAUUUAGCAUCUUGCUCCAUGAUAUAAUUUUUGAGGGUACAUAACACACAUCAAAUUCUCUUUUUCCAUAUUUUUGGCUUCUAAUUUUAGUGUACUCCACUCCAUGCCUUCUCCUCCAAUGCCAACUUUGGUCACUCAAAUUUUCUCAGUCAAUAUCAUGACACCCCAACACAGUUUACCUUUUCUGUUUUUUAUGCAAAUAUUAUACUGUCCUGUAAUAUAGUUCAUGAAUUAACUCGGUUAAGUUUCUGAA